rnacentral:rRNA from 1 species
UACGUAGGGUGCGAGCGUUAAUCGGAAUUACUGGGCGUAAAGUGUGCGCAGGCGGCAGAGCAAGUCGAGUGUGAAAGCCCCGGGCUUAACUUGGGAAUUGCGCUCGAAACUACUUUGCUGGAGUGUGGCAGAGGAAGGUGGAAUUCCACGUGUAGCGGUGAAAUGCGUAGAUAUCUGGAGGAACACCGGUGGCGAAGGCGGCAUCCUGGACCGGUAUUGACGCUGAGGCGCGAAAGCCAGGGGAGCAAACGGG